AUAUGUCUAAGUAUUAUUGAUAUAAAUAUGUGCAGAGCUAGCCAUUAGUAAGCUAACAGAUAUUCAGUUGUUUCCUAUUUCAUGAUUCUAAAAUUAUGUGAGUUCAUCAAUUAAUAAUUAUUAAAUUCUUUACUCUUGUGAGCUAAUACUAACGAAGAUACUAGAAUAGUAUUCUGGUACUACUAUUCAAAAACUUCAUCUGUAUUCUCAAAAAUAGCUUUCCUAUAACCACACGUGUGUGUAUGUAUCAUGCUACAGGUAGUCCUUGUUUAACAACACGUCACUUAGCAGCCAUUCAAAGUUAAUACAAAACCUCCAAAAAGGUACUUACAAUUUUGAAGUUCUGACGGCCACACAUUCACCCUGCAAUCAUAUGAUUGCAUUUUGGGUACUAGGCAACCAGCUUGCAUUUAUGGCCAUUUGCAGCAUCCUGUGGUCAUGUUACUGACUUUUGGUGUUUUGUUCCAGUUUCCAGCAUUUAUUUCCAGUUUCCAGUAAAAAAUUCCAUUGGGUAUAAUGGAUUCAUUUAAUGAUUGCUGCAUUCAUUUAAUGACCACUGCAACAAAGGUCAUAAAAUCAGGUGCAGUCACAUGGUGAUCAUUUAAAUGACUACCUGAGUUACAACCAUAAUUCCAGGCUGUCAAGCCCUGUGGGGCUUGCCAAUCACUGGUGGGAGGAAUUCGGAAAACUCUCCACCACCAUUGUGCACAGCUGCGACACUGCACAGCCCCUCACUUUGGCCGGCACCAGAGAAACCCACUCCUCGCCGCCUCGCCAAUUAGCUGGGUGUCGGAAGCCGGCAGGACACUGCUGAGUCCGGCCAGUCGGCACCUGGAAACCCCAAGCCUUGCUGCCCCGCCACCCAGCUGACCGUCGGACGACAGCAGGCCAUUGCGGAGCCCAGCCGAUAUGCACAGGCCAGCAAAAGCCGGAACCGGGCGAGGGGCCCUUUCCAACAGCACAGACACCCCGUGCGACAGCUGAAUGAAGGGGGGGGGGAUGAGCAGAACCAGGGGCUGCGCAGCACAGAACACUCACUGUUACCAGGAGGAAUGCCGGCGGCAGACCACGAGGGCCCAGAGGAGCCUGGAAGCAGCGCGUCAGCAGAAGGCUCUAUCUUGAAUGCACAGGAAGCAGGGCAGAGAGGUGGGGUUCAGCUGGGGGAGGGUCAGGGCCAGACAAAUGGACAUUUGAAGACAGCUGGGCAGAUGGUGGUUAGCGGGCGGAGGGUGGGGUUUUGAGUGUGUCACUGUUAUAUGAAGCACUGGGAGCAAACCACUCCCAGUGCUGACUUUGUUUGUUAGGGAUUAAAAUACCUGACUUGCACUUCGUUUCUGCAUUCCUGCAUUUAUUUCAUCGGGACGACGACAGACAUCGUGACACAGGCUUAAUCAUGGUCGUAAGUCAAGGACUACCUAUAGCUUUAUCCAUCACAAGUAAUUAAUAGGCUUGGGAACAAGGCAAUUGGACCUGAAAACCACAUUGUGACAUGACAAAAACAGAUGUAUUCAAUCAGAACUACCAAUACUGGCCAAGGAUAACAAAAAAUGAUUCUUCAACAUACUGGAAGAACUAAUUUGGACAUGGCUGAGUUACAAUAUUCAACAGGGACUCUUCAAUUCAACCUGUAAAUCAACUACUAACCUUCAUUAACUAGAGUACACUGUGUUGAUUUGUAAUAUGGUUUGUUUGAUUUGCCACAGGACUUUGUAAACCAUGAUAUUACACAUUUUACCCUAUUUGACAGUUUCUCAAUACAUCAUGAUUUUGGAAAAAAUGUUUGUCAUAAUCUGAAUUCAGUUUUAAUCUAAGAUACUUUAGACCAGCGUUCCCCAAUCUUUCUGGCUCUGCAGACUGGCGGUGGCAGUAGGCAGUGGCAGCAGAAGGAAGGGGUUGGUUUUGAUCAUGCAACCUAAUCUCACAAUGUGCAAAUGGAGCUGUCACGUUCACUUGCCGCUUGCAUGGCCCAUUUCCCAUUGGGCCAUGGACCUUUACCGAUCCAUGGAUCGGCGGUUAGGGACCCCUGUUUUAGACUAAAGGAAGGACAGCAUAGGCUAUUAUAAAUCUUUUGGAGAAAUAUAGAUAACUAUUUUUAUGUUAUUUUAAUUACUAAAUUAAGUAAAACAAGAUCACUUCUUAAAAAGAGACUGCAUUUCUAGCCACACUUGAAAUCAUUUCUGAUCUAUUUUUGUUUCCCUUUUUCAAUUAAAAAAAAAACAACCAGAUAAUCCUGAAAUAGUUGCAGUUCAUGAUCUGGAAAAGGUGAUUGCAUCAAAUGCUAAUUAAGUUAAUUAACUAUAAAUCACUGCUCUUGCAAAAUGUUCUCACCAGCUGGACUAUUAAAAAUUAUUUGCAACUGGAGGAAAACAACUAAUGACCAUAGAUUUUUACAUUCAUUUAUCAGACAUUGUGGUGAAAGAAACAACACAAACUAUAUAAAAAUGUUUCCAAAGGAACCCUUUUAUUAGAUUCUCAUUUCCUAUCAAAAUAAAUUAAUUUCUCACCCAUUAUAAUUAUUAAUUAUAUUAAUAUGAAUUUUAUAUGAAUUGAGCACUGAAAACAUUAUACUAAAACUAUACUAAUGCUAAAAGUAAUAUACCUUUUAUUAAUUUAUUAACAUUUUGAGAAUAUGUAGAAAAUAUUGAGAAUUUGCUUAAUUUUUCAAUUACAAAUACAAUUUUUAAUGUCUCACUAAAUGACAGCAUACUUUUAACAGAGUAGCACUGUGAGUGUUGAGAUUAUUUUUUUAAAACAAUUAUCAAAUCUUGACAAAUGUCAGAAAACAGUAUUUUAGAUUCUGGCAAUGAGUUCAUGACUAUAUCAUCCAAUUGUUUUUAUUUUACUUUAAACCAAGUUAGAGAAAAAUUCUCAUUGUUCUCAUGAGAAAGCUACUGUAUCUAUAUACUUACUUUUAUUUUAUACUUACUUAAAGUAUACUUAAAAUUAUUUGGAUGUAUGUAUAAUGGUAUGAAAGCACAAGAUUUGUUGGAACCAGAAUGCUUAGAUUUACCAAAAAAAAAAAAAAAAAAAAA